rnacentral:rRNA from 1 species
GAAGGUUUGGCACCUCGAUGUCGGCUCGUCGCAUCCUGGGGCUGAAGUAGGUCCCAAGGGUUGGGCUGUUCGCCCAUUAAAGCGGUACGCGAGCUGGGUUUAGAACGUCGUGAGACAGUGAGUUGACCGCGCUGUCUAUAAAUUCGGCUAUAUGCUGGAAACUCCGAGUAUCCGACAGUACUCGUCCGUGCUGUCACACCCCCGUCGUUAGGGUGUGGCGCAUCGGCAGUGACAAUCUGAUCGGCGCGGACAAUCAGCAGGAAAGGCUCGAUGCCUAGAACGUCAGCCAUGAUCCCGAGCGCCGUCAGGUGCUCGAUCUGCUCAUGCACAGGCUGGCGUGUGGACGGGUACAGGUGAACCAUCGUGAAUCAGUGGACAACAGUCUGGUAUACGUCGUCCGCCGACGCGAUGACCUUGUGAAGUCCAUACGGUAGAUUGGCGUCGAGAAUCCUCAGAGACCAUAUGCCGGACACCGCCGGAGGCGGUGAAGAUAUGGUCCGAUCUGCGUGGCGACACGCAGAGUCAGGCAGAAAUGACCUGACCCCCGGCCGACAUGUCGGCCGUGUGGUAACAGUUAUGUCGGUCCCUAUCCGGUGCAGCCGUAGGAAACCUGAGGAAGGCUGUCCCUAGUACGAGAGGACCGGGACGGACGCAGCUCUCGUGUGCCAGUUGUCCUGCCAAGGGCACGGCUGGUUGGCGACCUGCGGAAGGGAUAAGCGCUGAAAGCAUCUAAGUGCGAAGCUCGUUCCAAGAUGAGGUUUCCCACUGGGUCAACCAGGUAAGGCCCGUGGUAGACGACCACGUGGAUAGGCCGGAGGUGUACGCACAGCAAUGUGUUCAGCCGACCGGUACUAAUCGGCCGAGGGCUUGGACCAA